rnacentral:rRNA from 1 species
GCGGAAGGAUCAUUGUCGAAACCUGCCCAGCAGAACGACCCGUGAACAUGUUUAUCAAUUGUGGGAGUUGGGUAAUGAUGGUGCCAAGUGUGCCUUCUUGCCCCUCGCCCAAGCUUGUGUGCGCUCACUUGUGAGAUGCCCCUGGCUAUAAUAACUAACCCCGGCGCGAAAAGCGUCAAGGAAUACAAGUAUAAAGCGCCCGUCCUUGUCCGGUCAUUCGGUACGGGGCGUGGUGCCAUGUCCUAACAAUAAACGACUCUCGGCAACGGAUAUCUCGGCUCUCGCAUCGAUGAAGAACGUAGCGAAAUGCGAUACUUGGUGUGAAUUGCAGAAUCCCGUGAACCAUCGAGUCUUUGAACGCAAGUUGCGCCCGAAGCCUUCGGCUGAGGGCACGUCUGCCUGGGCGUCACGCAUCGCGUCUCCCCUCAAAUGAGGGGAAGGAGGAUGGCUUCCCGUGCCUCACCGGGUGCGGUUGGCCUAAAUUUGGAGCCCACGGCGUGCAGUUGCCGCGGCGAUAGGUGGUAAACAAGGCUUUGGCCGUGUAAACAGCCCGUUGCGGUGUGCUGCUCGUUGGACCCUUUUGCUUCAAACCUUUGCGACCCCAGGUCAGG